rnacentral:rRNA from 1 species
UCGAGAGGCUUUGGCAAUGGGGGAAACCCUGACCAAGCGACGCCGCGUGAAGGAUGAAGGCCCUUGGGUUGUAAACUUCUUUUGCUAGGGAAGAAACGCGAUCAGGUGAACAAUCUGGUCGUUUGACGGUACCUGGCGAAUAAGCUCCGGCUAACUCCGUGCCAGCAGCCGCGGUAACACGGGGGGAGCAAGCGUUGUUCGGAAUCACUGGGCGUAAAGGGCGUGUAGGCGGUUUGGUAAGUGGGACGUGAAAUCCCUCGGCUCACCCGAGGACCUGCGUCCCAUACUGCCAGGCUAGAGUACGGGAGAGGAUGAAGGAAUUCCUGGUGUAGCGGUGAAAUGCGUAGAUAUCAGGAGGAACACCGGUGGCGAAGGCGUUCAUCUGGCCCGAUACUGACGCUGAGGCGCGAAAGCUAGGGGAGCGAAACGGGAUUAGAUACCCCGGUAGUCCUAGCCGUAAACGGUGAGCACUAGGUGUUGGAGGCAUUGACCCCUCAGUGCCGCAGCUAACGCU